rnacentral:rRNA from 1 species
AGUGAACGCUGGCGGUAGGCCUAACACAUGCAAGUCGAACGGCAGCACAGUAAGAGCUUGCCCUUACGGGUGGCGAGUGGCGGACGGGUGAGGCAUACAUCGCAAUCUACUUUUUCGUGGGGGAUAACGUAGGGAAACUUACGCUACUACCGCAUACGACCUACGGCUGAAAGCAGGGGAUCUUCGGACCUUUCGCGAUUGAAUGAGCCGACGUCGGAUUAGCUAGUUGGCGGGGUAAAGGCCCACCAAGGCGACGAUCCGUAGCCGGCCUGAGAGGAUGAUCAGCCACACUGGAACUGAGACACGGUCCAGACUCCUACGGGAGGCAGCAGUGGGGAAUAUUGGACAAUGGGCGAAAGCCUGAUCCAGCCAUGCCGCGUGAGUGAAGAAGGCCUUCGGAUUGUAAAGCCCUUUUGUUGGGAAAGAAAAGCAGCAGGUUAAUCCACCGCUGUUCUGACGGUACCCAAAGAAUAAGCACCGGCUAACUUCGUG